GGGGAAGUAUUGCACAAUGGGGGAAAGCCCUGAUGCAGCGACGCCGCGUGAAGGAAGAAGUAUCUCGGUAUGUAAACUUCUAUCAGCAGGGAAGAAAAUGACGGUACCUGACUAAGAAGCCCCGGCUAACUACGUGCCAGCAGCCGCGGUAAUACGUAGGGGGCAAGCGUUAUCCGGAUUUACUGGGUGUAAAGGGAGCGUAGACGGAGCAGCAAGUCUGAUGUGAAAGGCAGGGGCUCAACCCCUGGACUGCAUUGGAAACUGUUGAUCUUGAGUACCGGAGGGGUAAGCGGAAUUCCUAGUGUAGCGGUGAAAUGCGUAGAUAUUAGGAGGAACACCAGUGGCGAAGGCGGCUUUACUGGACGGUAACUGACGUUGAGGCUCGAAAGCGUGGGGAGCAAACA
rnacentral:rRNA from 1 species